rnacentral:rRNA from 1 species
GAUGAACGCUAGCGACAGGCUUAACACAUGCAAGUCGAGGGGCAGCACUGGGUAGCAAUACCCUGGUGGCGACCGGCGCACGGGUGAGUAACACGUGUGCAACCAACCCCGUACCGGGAGAUAACCCGCGGAAACGUGGACUAACAUCCCAUGAUACUCGAGAGCCGCAUGGCUCUAGAUUUAAAAUUCCGGUGGUACGGGACGGGCACGCGCGACAUUAGGUAGUUGGCGGGGUAAGGGCCCACCAAGCCGACGAUGUCUAGGGGUUCUGAGAGGAAGGUCCCCCACAUUGGUACUGAGACACGGACCAA